rnacentral:rRNA from 1 species
AUUGAACGCUGGCGGCAUGCCUUACACAUGCAAGUCGAACGGCAGCACGGGUUCUUGCACCUGGUGGCGAGUGGCGAACGGGUGAGUAAUACAUCGGAACAUGUCCUGUAGUGGGGGAUAGCCCGGCGAAAGCCGGAUUAAUACCGCAUACGAUCUACGGAUGAAAGCGGGGGACCUUCGGGCCUCGCCCUAUAGGGUUGGCCGAUGGCUGAUUAGCUAGUUGGUGGGGUAAAGGCCUACCAAGGCGACGAUCAGUAGCUGGUCUGAGAGGACGACCAGCCACACUGGGACUGAGACACGGCCCAGACUCCUACGGGAGGCAGCAGUGGGGAAUUUUGGACAAUGGGCGAAAGCCUGAUCCAGCAAUGCCGCGUGUGUGAAGAAGGCCUUCGGGUUGUAAAGCACUUUUGUCCGGAAAGAAAUCCUUGGCCCUAAUACGGUCGGGGGAUGACGGUACCGGAAGAAUAAGCACCGGCUAACUACGUG